AAAAGAUUGAGGUGUUUGUUUAGUUUAAGGCAUUCCAGCAACCUGUAACCUAAAUGCCAAAUUUACUUAAAAUCCUUGGGCCUGUAAUCAUUUCCAUCAUUUUUACAAUGUGUAUAAUUGUAUCAAAACUUAAAAAUUACUUGUACUGUGUCUUCAGAUAUAAUUUAUAUACAAUAAGCUUUUGUUCUGUUCAAAAUUUUUCAUGUGCUAGACACUCUGCUCCAAAGAAUUUUCCUCCACACACUGCCUGCACAUCUGUUUAGGAAUGGCAGCAUUUUGGCAAUUGAAUUUCUAGUUUUCCAUUUCAAAGACAAUCUUGAUACUUAAGUAGUAAGAUAUUAUUUAGAGUUGAAGGUUAAGUAGAAAUAUGUUUGGUUGUGGUCUUCCUACAGACAUUUUUUAUUCAUUAUUUAUGUGUGUUUGAGAUGUGUGAUUGUGUUGCUUAUCAUUCUGACUGCUGAGGAGAUACUUCUGUGAGGUUUACUUAUCUCCUGGACUGUACUGUGGACUGUACUGUUUUAUAGCCACUGUCAAACUUGACAGUCCAAAGACACUAGAGUACCAUAUCAUUAUUAUUGCUCAAUUCUGUAACUGUAGCCAGUUCAGAGAAAAUCCUAAGCUAAUAAGCUUAAUUGAAUGCUGUUUAGUUCUAUCAAUUAAAUCUGUGUUUUAUCAAUAAUUUCAACUAUUUAAAUUUAAUAAGUAAUAUUGUGUAUUUUUGGAGUAAAUUUCAAGAAUUAGGGAUGGUAGGUACAAUAAAAGAAAAUAUUAACUUAAGAAUGUUCGUUAAAACAGAAAUCUUUUGAAAUAAAAAAUCAUUUAUCAUGAAGUGAAUGUUAAAUGGAAAUAGUUACUAGAAUAAUGUUGUGCAGUGUAAUGCUUUUGUGCAUUGAAUGACUGUCAAAGAAUUACAUUGUAUAAUGCAGUGAAAGAACGUGCAGUGAAUGAAUGUUAAAUGAAUUAUAUUGUAAAAUUGUGCGAGUGAAUAUCAAAAUCAAAAUGUUUAAAGUAAAUUGUUUUUUAAAACACAAUGACCAGACAGUAGAACUAAUCAUUUUGUAAAGCAGUGGCAGAGUUAGGUUAUUCUGUUAAAGAGACAGUGGCAUGGCAUAUUAAUAAUUUUUUGUGUUGUUAAGUGGAUGAGAGUGGUUGUAUUCCAAUGGCUUUAAGCAUGAAAUCACCUGGCCUUAUGCUGAAGACAUCUAUGAAUCGACCAACCAGAUGUAUACCUCUAAUUUAAACUCCUGAAAAUCCCCAUGGUUGUUGGUGGUGCAGACAGAAUGUGAGCCAGGAAGUACCUCUGUAAAAGCCCAGACAUUCCAUAUGCAGGAGUACCUUCAUUCUUCAAGUCUGUACAAGAGAUCUAUGUGAGGAUGAAAGCCAAGAUAAUACAAAGAUUCAGCACAUCAGUCCAACUGAAGGACCAAGUAUCCAUUGAUUCAGUUGCAUCUUAACUAAGAAGUUAACUUGGAUCUGCUUCACAGGGAGUCAUUGAUGAUCAACUAAGUAGUAGGAUACAGUUUUCUGAUCAGAUGAAAUCGCUUUAUCUUAUCUGGCUGGAAUUUAAAGAGCUGAGACUACCAUUAGGAAAAUCUGCCAUGUAAUAACACUAACCCAGAACAUUGCUACUGAGUCUACCACACAGUAAUGUGGACAAGGACAUUGCUAUUAAGAGUUUCCAUGCAGUAACACUGACUUGAGUAGUCCACACAGGAAAAACACACAGUAACGUUGACUUAGGAUGUUGCUACCGAGUAUUAUACACUGUAAUACUGACCCCAAAGUGUAGCUUUUCUAUGGAAAAUUCAGACAGAUAACUGAAGUUACCUGUCAAUAGGUGCAAUAAAAUCUUUAUUAUCUGUUUAUGUUAACACUCCUGAUACUGAAGGCUGGACUCUGCUGAACACUGGGGAAAAAAAGUGGAGGUAAACAUGCAACUCACUGUGUGUGACAUUAGUGAAAAAUUUUUUUAAUGUGACCGUGAUAUAUAGACAUCCAAAUUAUUUUAAGUAACAUUCAAGUAAUGGUCAAAGGUAGUAGUGAAAACUCAAUGAAUGUGACAUCAAAGUUUAGAUGACUGAGAAAGAAAGACAGUUAUACCUACUAGUAAAAAUCUAUAAGAUUAGAUAUUAAAAUAAUGUUAAAAAGUGACAGUAGGUACAGUAAAAUGUGAAUAAUAUGUGUUUUGAUUGAUAAUGUCAAAUAAUAAUGUGUAACUCAUUGUUCCAGUGUAUAUAUAUCAUUUCGUUGAAUCAGUUAUCUAAAGAAACAAACUGGACCAACUGUUUUGAUCAUUUUGGAUUGGUUAGUAGUUGCAUAAUUUUACCACAAGAGACCAAAAAAUCUCUGCAAUCUCCCUGGGCCACAUUCACAUGUAUGCUGACAUUCAUACUGUACAAUAUGCUCCGUUUAAGCUUGAAUAAGAAGAGUUAUCCUACUCAACACAGCGUUGGCGUCACACUUUUAAGUUUUUCAUACCACAUUGAUUCUACUUUAACUUGUUAAAUUCAGAGGUAAAAAAUAGUUAAAAAACACGAAUCUUCCAACGGUUUUUGAGUGUUUUUAUUUGAUGGAACAAUGUUUUCAACAGUGAUCGAACAUUCUGAAGUCAAAACAGGCCCUAGAUUUUGUACCAGAAUAUAAGAAAUAAACACCCAGAUACAGUUAAAUUAAGAUAUGUUAUAUUGAAUGAUACACAUUUCCUCAAGGCCAAAAUUUUGUUUUUCAUGUUUUUUAAAAGAAAGUUUUAUAAGAAAUGGCAUAAUUAACAAUUCUAUAAAAAAAAUUGUAAUAAAAGUAAAAUAUUUCAUAUUUUCUACUUUCAAUUUCUAAAAGUAUUAAUGUUUUUAAGAGAAAAACAUCAAUCCAAUAAUUUUAUAUCAAAAUCGGUCAAGACCGUGCAUCCAUUUAUUGCAAUGCAUAUCUUGAAAGUAAAAUUUUUUUAACUCUGCAAAUCUGAUAUAACAUGACUGUCCCUAGCAUAACGUAUCUCAUGCUUUAUGCAAUAUGUUUCUUAAAAUGUUUAAAGAUAAAUUAUUAAUGUCUAACACGAAAAAAAAAACAGUCUAAAACCAUUUAUAUAAAGUCAAAUAUUACUGGUUACAGCAGCUUUUUCUUUCAUUUGUUUAAAAUAUUUAUACAGCUAUCACCUUCAGUGACGCACACAAAAGCAAGAAAAAACGUGAACAAUUUAUUCAGAAUUACACAUUACAUGUUCAGCAAUUAUACUGUUAAAACGAUACGUAGGUAAUGUUUUUCCAACUAUUUUUAAAAAUACAUCAUCAUUAUCUCAUUCAUAUAUAUAGUUUCUUAAGAAAAUCUAAAUAUGAUGGUUUACACACAAUUUAUUAAAAUUUUUAGGUUCAUAUAAAGUUAAUAUAGAACAUCAAAUUUUAUCUAUCUGUAGGCCUCUUUCAUAUGUCUGAUAUAUUCUGUUCAUACCUUGUGUUUUUUUGGUGUUUUUAAUGUGUUUACUGGCCAUGGGAUUCGUUUGUUUUAACUCUUUGUCCUUUUCAGAUUAUCAAGAUCAGAUUUCUUUGCUCUUCAUCUCUAUUAUUUCUUCCUAUAAUUCUGCAUUGUUGAUGUAAUUUGUGACAAUAAAAAAAAAUAUGAAAUGUAGAUGUACUGAUCCUAUUGUAAGCAUACAAGUUGUAUUUCCAUUUCUACACUUCAGAAUAAAACAACAGAUUUUCAUAAGAUACCUUAUUGAGACAUAAUUCAUUUUACUGUCAAAUUGCAAAUAGUGGAUUAUUUUAGGCUAUACUUCUUUCAUAUUUCUAACACUCCCACUCAGUAAGCAUUAUGUGUAAACCAGAUGUUGUUAAAGUACCUAAUUGGCAUACAUCGAUUUACGUAAUUUGUCGUUGUGAAUUAAUCAAUUAUUUUAUCAGCAUAAUGUACCUUAUUUAAACAUAUCUUACGUGCAUUUUACGUCAGCAUUAAAUCACCCCUAUUUGAUGUGCGCACGUAUUGAGUGUAUUAUAUACUGGCUAAAUGUUACGGUUAGGUUUAACAUUCAAUGCGUGCGUACACUCGAUGCAGGAGAUUUAAUGCCGACCGUGCAUUUUAUGAAACUGAACCCCACAUAAAAAAGGUCUAUUUACUACAUUUUCUUAACGUAUAUAAAAAAGGCAUAGCUGGCUUAUUAAUAAUACGGUUUGUGGUCACCAUUUCAAACAGAUUUUCAUUUUCUUGCAAACUCUGUAUAACGUAUCGUUUGUUUUUGUUGAAGAAUUCCAGUCACAGCUGAUCAACGUUGCUUGGGUCUAAAAAGAAUUUAUGAUACUAUGAAAUAACUUGCAAACUAUAUACAGCUAUGCUGUGUGUUCCAUUUAAAACUUGUAUGAGGUCCCAUAAAACUUAGAUCAUUGGGUUUUUUUCAGUUAAAUUCGCAUAACGCAUCUUACUUGAAAAUCUGGACAAAGGACUUAGAAAAUGCAAAAGGAUAUCACUCAAUACACAAAGAUUUUUUGUUUUAAAAUCCACACUUACCCUAGUUCUUUUAGUUCAGGCUUUAUGCACAAGUGUACAGUAUACACUGACUGCAAAAUAGCUUGCAUUAUACACGACUAUGCUAGAGACAGGCAAAAAUGGUCAAAACUGGGCUAUACAUGUAUAUGUAACUGCUGUUGAUGAAUGACUAAACAUAAGCGUAAAAAGUGAAAUCGUAAUGUGAAGACAACGUAUAAUCAAUGACCAGUCCACAUUUUGUCAAAUAGCUUUGUAACUUUCAACAUUUGUCUGCUAUCACCAUGUCCAGUUUUAGGAAAGAGUAAACACCUCUGUUGGGGAUUUUGACUGAAUUAUGGCUUCUUCUAAGUUACAAAUCUUGGUUAAGUUUUUCGUAAUUAACUGUUCAUAUUUUGUGUAAACUGUUAACUUUGAUGUAUAGCUUUCAAACUUUUAUCACUUGUUUAGUUACUAAUACUGUAACAGACUCUAACUGUAGGCUACAUGUAGAGUACAUAACUCUGUCAAGUAUUUUGGCUGAAUUAUGGCUUUUUUUGGACUUGAAAAUUGGUUCAGUUUUUUGUACAAGUCCACUUUUUGUCAAAAUUAUUUGGCAUGUGGCUUUGAAACUUUGUGUAGGCAAGACUACAUAGCUAGGACAAGGAUUUUGACUUAGUUGUGGCGCUUGUUUAGACUAUUUUAUAUAUAGCUAUGAAACUUUCAACACUUGCUUCCAUUAUGGUCUUUAUCUGUAGACAAGAGUACAUAACUUUUCUACUCAGAACUUCUAAGCUAGACUGUAAUGGUUAAUGAGUGGUUAAAGUUUCAAAGCCAUAUGUCAAACAGUUAAGACAAAAUACGGACAUCAAUUCUUGGAAUAGUCGAGUGCGCUCUUGUUACUUAAUCGAUUAAGUGCUGUCUGUCAAAGUUUAUCUAUAUAACUCGAACACCAGUGGGGGGAUUUAUACCAAACUCCCAGAAGUGAUCAUUACCAAGCCUACUUGUGCAUAUUGUUGGCUUUUUCGGGUUCAUUGAUUAGCUCAUCUGAUUUUUUGAAAAAAAAUGAUGAGUUAUUGUCAUCACUUGAGCGGUUGUCGGCGUCUACAUCGGCGUUGCCUGGUUAAGUUUUAUGUUUAGGUCAGCUUUUCUCCUAAACUAUCAAAGCUAUUGCUUUGAAACUUGGAAUACUUGUUCACCAUCAUAAGCUGACCCUGUAUAGCAAGAAACAUAACUCCAUCUUGCUUUUUGCAAGAUUUAUGGCCCCUUUUGUACUUAGAAAAUAUCAGAUUUCUUGGUUAAGUUUUAUGUUUAGGUCAACUUUUUCUCCUAAACUAUGAAAGCUUUUGCUUUGAAACUUGGAAUACUUGUUCACCAUCAUAAGCAGACCCUGUACGUCAAGAAACAUAACUCCAUCUUGCUUUUUGCAAGAAUUAUUGCCCCUUUUGGACUUAGAAAAUCAGUUUUCUUGGUUAAGUUUUAUGUUUAGGUCAGCUUUUAUCCUAAACUAUCAAAGCUAUUCCUUUAAAACUUGCAACACUUGUUCACCAUCAUAAGCUGACCCUGUACAGCAAGAAACAUAACUCCGUCCUGCUUUUUGCAAGAUUUAUGGCCCCUUUUGGACUUAGAAAAUAUCAGAUUUCUUGCUUAAGUUUUAUGUUUAGGUCAACUUUUUCUCUUAAACUAUCAAAGCUAUUGCUUUAAAACUUGCAACUCUUGUUCACCACAUUAAGCUGACCCUGUGCAGCAAGCAACAUAACUCCAUCCUGCUUUUUGCAAUAAUUAUUGCCCCUUUUGGACUUAGAAAAAUCAUUUUCUUGGUUGAAUAUUAUGUUUAAGUCAACUUUUCUCAUAAACUAUCAAAGCUAUUGCUUUAAAACUUGCAACAGUUUUUCACCAUCAUAAGUGGACACUGUACAUCAAGAAACAUAACUCUAUCCUGCUUUUUGCAAGAGUGAUGGCCCUUUUUAGACUUAGAAAAUCAUGGGUAGGACAAUAUUUCUAUUAUAAAAAAAAAAUCAGAUGAGCGUCAGCACCCGCAAGGCGGUGCUCUUGUUUUCAGCUGAGUUAUGGUCCUUGGUUCAUCAAAUGUUAUGAUGUCUUGGCCACAUUUAGUAUUUAGCAGAUUUCCACCAAACCUCACAGAUCAUUGGGCAAAUACUUGGCAUCUUCCAGUUGGAUGAUUUUUAGCUGGGUUAUCAUCGAUUCAUCCAAUUUUAUGAGGUUUAGGCCACUUCUUUUAUAUAAUUGGGUGGAAUUCCACCAAUCCUUACAAGAGUUAACAGUACCAAGCUUCAUUAUGCAUAUUGUCUGCAUGUUCUGGUUCAGUGAUUUUUUAGCUCACCUGUCACAUAGUGACAAGGUGAGCUUUUGUGAUCACGCAGCGUCCGUCCGUCCGUCCGUGCGUUAGUCCGUCCGUCCGUAAACUUUUGCUUGUGACCACUCUAGAGGUCACAUUUUUUGUGGGAUCUUUAUGAAAGUUCACCUUGAUGAUAUCUAGAUCAAGUUCGAAACUGGGUCACAUGCCUUCAAAAACUAGGUCAGUAGAUCUAAAAAUAGAAAAACCUUGUGACCUCUCUAGAGGCCAUAUAUUUCAUGAGAUCUUCAUGAAAAUUGGUCAGAAUGUUCACCUUGAUGAUAUUAAGGUCAAGUUUGAAAGUGGGUCACGUGCCAUCAAAAACUAGGUCAGUAGGUCAAAUAAUAGAAAAACCUUGUGACCUCUCUAGAGGCCAUAUUUUUCAUGGGAUCUGUAUGAAAAUUGGUCAGAAUGUUUAUCUUGAUAAUAUCUAGGUCAAGUUCGAAAGUGGGUCACGUGCCAUCAAAAACUAAGUCAGUAGGUCAAAUAAUAGAAAAACCUUGUGACCUCUCUAAAGGCCAUAUUUUUCAUGGGAUCUGUAUGAAAGUUGGUCUGAAUGUUCAUCUUGAUGAUAUCUAGGUCAAGUUCGAAACAGGGUCAUGUGCGGUCAAAAACUAGGUCAGUAGGUCUAAAAAUAGAAAAACCUUGUGACCUCUUUAGAGGCCAUACUUAUGAAUGGAUCUCCAUAAAAAUUGGUCAGAAUGUUCAUCGUGAUGAUAUGUAGGUCAAGUUCGAAAGUGGGUCACGUGCCUUCAAAAAGUAGGUCAGUAGGUCAAAUAAUGAAAAAACAUUGUGACCUCUCUAGAGGCCAUAUUUUUCAUGGGAUCUGUAUGAAAGUUGGUCUGAAUGUUUAUCUUGAUGAUGUAUAGGUCAAGUUUGAAACUGGGUCAACUGCGAUCAAAAACUAGGUCAGUAGGUCUUGAAAUAGAAAAACCUUGUGACCUCUCUAGAGGCCAUACCCUUGAAUGGAUCUUCAUGAAAAUUGGUCAGAGUGUUCACCUUGAUGAUAUCUAGGUCAAGUUUGAAACUGGGUCACGUGCCUUAAAAAACUAGGUCAGUAGGUCAAAUAAUAAAAAAACUUUGUGACCUCUCUAGAGGCCAUACUUUUCAUGGGAUCUGUAUGAAAGUUGAUCUGAAUGUUCAUCUUGAUGAUAUCUUGGUCAAGUUUGAAACUGGGUCAACUGCAGUCAAAAUCUAGGUCAGUAGGUCUAAAGUUAUUAAAAUAUUUUGACCUCUCUAGAGGCCAUAUUUUUCAAUGGAUCUUCAUUGAAAAUUGAUCUGAAUGUUCACCUUGAUGAUAUCUAGGUCAGUUUCAAAACUGGGUCACGUGCGAUCAAAAACUAGGCCAGUAGAUAUAAAAAUAGAAAAACUUGUGACCUCUUUAAAGGCCAUAUUUUUCACGAGAUCUUCAUGAAAAUUUGUGAGAAUGUUCACCUUGAUGAUAUCUAGGUAAAGUUCAAAACAGGGUCACGUAUCUUCGAAAACUAGGUCAAUAGGUCAAAUAAUAGAAAAACCUUGUGACCUCUCUAGAGACCAUAUUUUUCAAUGGAUCUUCAUGAAAAUUGGUCAGACUUUUUAUCUUGAUAAUAUCUAGGUCAAGUUCAAAACUGGGUCACAUGAGCUCAAAAACUAGGUCACUAUGUCAAAUAAUAAAAAGAACGAUGCCAUACUCAAAACUGGGUCAUGUGGGAAGAGGUGAGCGAUUCAGGACCAUCGUGGUCCUCUUGUUCAGUGGAAUUAUGGCCCUUGAUUGGUCUAUUUUAUCUUGCCUGGGCAACUGCUCCAAUACCAGAGGCAGAUGUACACCAAACAUCACGAGAGAUCAUUGCCAAGCCUAGUUGUGCAUAUUAUCAGCAUGUUACAGUUUGGUGUUUUCCAGCAGAGUUGUGGCCCUUGAUUGGUCAAAUCUUAUGAUGUUGUAGCCACUUCUCUUAUAUAUUAGUUGGAUUUUAACCAAACCAUACAGAAAUGAUCAUUAUUAAGUCUUAUGCAUAUCAGUGGCAUGUUCCACUUCAGUGAUUUUUAGCAGAGUUAUAGCCCUUGAUGUGGCAUGUUUCAAAUUACUUGCUACAUACAUUUAUGAUGAAUUUCAGUAAACCUUACAAGUAAUUAGUGCGAAGCAUAGUUGCCCUUUUCUGAUUAAAUUAUUUUUCAGUACUUUGUAAUCCUUAGGAAAAACAUAACAUCUAUUUAUCAAUUUCAUCCUUGUUUCUUUAAUUUUCUGUGCAGCCAGUUGUUAAAAUGUCAAAGCAGAGUGAUUUAAAUAGUUUGUAGACAUGGUAAAUUUUACAGACAAAAUAAAAAGACCAUGAAGGGGUAUUUUGUUCAUCAAAUUCAACAGUUACUUGUAGAGUGGUGAGAAAAUGUUGAGACUUUGGGUAUAAACAGGGUUUUCUGUGGUUUGGCCUAGUGACUAAACAAGUUUUUACCCUAGGUGAGCUAGCUUUGUAACUGACCUAACUUCAGUUAGUAAAGAAAUUUUAGAUUUAUUUAUUUAUUCUAUGGUUUGACCAUGUGACAUUGUUUAUGGCCUUUCAAACUAAACCCAUAGUGAGUAGAUACAAUGUUCAUUCUGACAAGAUUCCAUGUGGAUCUGGAAGAAAAUGUGGCUUUUGGUGUAUAAAGGUAGUUUUACAUGUUCAAUUAAACCGGAAGUGAUGACGUAACAUCAUUUUAAAAUAUCCAGAAAAUGUAGAAUAAAGGCUGGAUUUGGCCUACGGAAAUGAAAAUCAUCUUGUGAAGUAAUGGCAACCUGUGAAUAAAUUUCUUACAAUGGCACUGUUACUAUCUUUCUAAAAUAAAAGUAUAAUAUUAGAACAUGUGACAUGUUAGAUUCAAAAUAAUGUCAUAAAACUAGCUUAAAAUGUGAGGUUUACUUUUAUCAUGGCCAAAUAUCUCAAAAGCAAGCACACGGACCUAUAGAUUUUAUUUCAUCAUAUUAUAGACAAUAUGUUUAUAAGUAUAUGACUGUGAGAUGUUUGAUUAAAAUCCACAUUGUAGAAAAAUUUCUAUUUGUUGCGAUUUUCCCAUAGACUCCUAUUAUGAAAGAUUGCGUGAGGUCCAAAUUUUUCAAAUCAGUCUAGCAAAAAACAAAGCAAACGACCUUAUCUUUUUUAUUUGCUGACUUUUCUAAGUAUAUUCUGAAGUUUUGAAAAGUCCGAGUUUAAUCAAAUUCUACAUUGUAGAAAAAAAUUCAAUCAAAAUGUGCAUAACUACCUUAAAUAAAAGCUGUUCACAAAAAUCUGUUUUAGCUCUGGUAGAGCCCUAAUGUAUGUUCGAAAAGAACCAUUUUGAAUAAACUUUGAAAAGGUUAGAGUCCACCAACUGUUCUCCCAUAGACUGACAUUGUAACAUUAUGGCUUGUACGGCCUUCCAUACAUCGAAACAUGUAUAUUUAAUUACAAGUUUUUCAAGAACUAUCUUAGUUCUACCAAAAUAUCGGACGAAAAACAUACGAAUUGUGAUACUUUAUUUAAGUAAUUUUUGUGUGAAUGAGAUGACCCCCUGUUUACAUCUUUGACAUGGCGGGAAAAAUUCGUUUGAUAAAACUUUUUUUUCAAUACACAUAAAAUGUAGCA